UUUUGCUUAGUGUAACCAUUACACAACAGUAUGUACUUGUCACCCCUGGCCUCCUAAAAAAAAUCCAGAAUUUAUUAUCUUGACCUUAGGUGCCAAAUGAGGCUGGCAAGGCUUUCUCCUGGGGUAAGAUCGUAGGUGGUUAGGAGUAAAUAAAACCCCAGCUUUGUGACUCUGUAUGACAUCACACACUUUCAGCCUAGCAUUGCCAACUACUAGGCACAUUACCCUGAGCUUCUUGUAACAAAGGUAGUGAUGUUCAUUUUAAAAAUAUCAAGAAACAGAUUAAUAAAAUUCAGAAUAUGAUUAUCUGCUUCUCAUUAUUGGGCUAUGCGAAAACACAGCCGACCUGGCCCAGUUCCAGGAACAACAUUGACAUGGUGUUAAAUCCAGAGAAGAUAGCCCCAAGUUAGAGAACAAAGUUGCUCUGCAUAAUAAAUUUCCCAAUUCUCCUCACAAAGUCCAGAAGAGCAACCAGGAGAGCAAAAGAAAAACUGAGUAUAGAAAAGUAGGAAAAAAAAAUCAGAAUAAAAAGAUGGAGAGAAUUGAAGAGAAAGUGAUGGAUAUAACAGGCAACGAAGAUGCAACAUAUCCAUAACAGAAGUCUUACCCCCAGACCCCCUCAAAGAGGAAAGUAAGGCAGUGGGUAGAAACUACUAAAGAAAACAUUGCUGAAGACAAAAAAGAUGACUUGAACCUGUGUACCUGAAGGGAACAUGAUGUGCCUAGAACAUAUAAACAAAAACAGUCGACUCCAAGACAUAGCCUUAAAAUUAUUGUACGUUAUAGAACAGAAAUCUGUUUGGCAUAAGAUAAAAUGACCAAGUAACUUACAUGGGAUUAGAUCUUCACAGAAGACUUUUAAGUUAAAAACACAGUGGAGUAAAUGGAGUAACGUAGUACAAAUACCCAAGAAAAGAAAUGUAACACCCUCCCCACUUCGGGAUUUUUAAAUUCAGCCAAAUGACCUUCAAGUAGAAAGACCAUAGACAAACCUCAAUGAAGAGGAAGGAAGGAAUCAGGAAAUGAUGUUCCUGUGAGCACUCCCUGAGUAAUCCACUAAGCUAUGAGCUUCACACAAUCAAGAAAUGUUUAGGAAGCUUUUCAUUAGGACUAGUGGUGAGAAAUGAAUAUGUUUAACUGAAGAACUAAGACUAAAUAAAGGGCACGAGUGUGAGAAAUCCUAUGUGUUUGUUACAUUCUCUGAUAAUAAAGGUAUAUUUCAGUUAUCAAAAAUGGGAUAAAAGGGAGAGAAUAUACCAAAAGCAAGCUUGAUGGCUGCCUUGGAGGUAUCACUUAGCACUUAAAGAAUAUUACUUUAGAUGCUUUGGAGAGAGAGAGGGG
rnacentral:lncRNA from 1 species